AUCCAACUGACGAGUCCCACAUAGAACGAAACGCCCGUCCUGGAU
rfam:Schistosoma haematobium scaffold868_65, whole genome shotgun sequence.